CGAGAAGCUAAUUAGUGGCGAAAGGGUGAGGAAUAAAUAGGUAACGUACCCCGAACUUCGGAAUAGCGUCUGGAUGCUUGCAUCCUUCCGAAAGGGGCGGUAAUACCGGAUGAUAUCAUUUGACACAAGUCAGAUGAUCAAAGAUUUAUCGGUUUGGGAGCGGCCUAUUUCCUAUCAGCUUGUUGGUGAGGUAACGGCUCACCAAGGCAGCGACGGGUAGCGGGACUGAGAGGUUGACCCGCCACAUCGGGACUGAGACACUGCCCGGACCUCCACGGAGGGCUGCAGUAACGAAUAUUGCGCAAUGGACGAAAGUCUGACGCAGCAACGCCGCGUGUAGGAUGAAGCCCCUCGGGGUGUAAACUACUGUCAGGGGUUGGAAAGUGUACUUCGGUACAUUGAUCAGCCCCAAAGGAAGUCACGGCUAACUUCGUGCCAGCAGCCGCGGUAAUACGAAGGUGGCGAGCGUUGUUCGGAAUCACUGGGCUUAAAGCGCGCGUANGCGGAAAGGAAAGUGUUUUGUGAAAGCCCCCGGCUCAACCGGGGAAUUGCUUGGCAAACUUCCUUUCUUGANGCAGAUAGGGGUACAUGGAACUCUUGGUGGAGCGGUGGAAUGYGUAGAUAYCAAGAGGAACGCCGGAGGCGAAAGCGACACGCUGGGCCUGUCCUGACGCUGAGAUGCGAAAGCCAGGGUAGCGAACGGGAUUAGAUACCCCGGUAGUCCUGGCCCUAAACGAUGUCAACUAGGUUAGAGGCUCUCUGACGGGUUUCUGGCCGGAACAAAAGUGUUAAGUUGACCGCCUGGGGAGUACGGUCGCAAGGCUAAAACUCAAAGGAAUUGACGGGUGCUCACACAAGCGGUGGAGCAUGUUGCUCAAUUCGAUGCAACGCGAAGAACCUUAUCCUGGGCUUGACAUGCUUGGAUGCCUCCCUGGAAACAGGAUUUGGCUGCCCUUCGGGGUGAAACUUGCACAGGUGCUGCAUGGCUGUCGUCAGCUCGUGUCGUGAGAUGUUGGGUUAAGUCCCGUAACGAGCGAAACCCUUGUCGCUAGUUGCCAGCGCGUAAUGGCGGGGACUCUAGUGAGACUGCCGGUGUUAAACCGGAGGAAGGUGGGGAUGACGUCAAGUCCUCAUGGCCUUUAUGCCCAGGGCUGCAAACGUGCUACAAUGGCCGGUACAAACCGACGCAAAACCGCGAGGUGGAGCAAAUCGGAAAAAACCGGCCCCAGUUGGGAUUGGAGUCUGCAACUCGACUCCAUGAACGUGGAAUCGCUAGUAAUCGUAGAUCAGCUAUGCUGCGGUGAAUGUGUUCCUGAGCAUUGUACACACCGCCCGUCAAGUCAUGGAAGCCGGGAAUACCCGAAGUCGCUCCGUUUCAGGAGUGCCGAAGGUAAGCUCGGUGACUGGGACU
rnacentral:rRNA from 1 species